AAACAGGAUCAGAUAAAUAUAUGCUUAAUUCCUUGGCUAGCAGCCCGAAAGAUGAAAAGUAGAAUAAAAGGCAAAGCCUGUUCUAGAGUAGUUAGACAGUAAAAACGUAAAUGGCUUUGAAAUAGACAAAGGAACCUUCAUACAAGCCUGGAACAAGAAAUUCAUGGCAACAAGAGAAUAUGCUUAUAAAAAGAAUUAGUUAAUCAGUAGUUU
rnacentral:misc_RNA from 1 species